CUGGUAUUUCAAUGUUGACUCCAUAAAAACUUGCGUUUUUACUUCAUGGUCUCCCAGCUAUUCUACACAAAUAAUACCCACUUUCAAUAUGAAGCUAUAGUAAAGGUUCACGGGGUCUUUCCGUCUAGCCGCGGGAAUACUGCAUCUUCACAGCAAUUUCAAUUUCACUGAGUCUCGGAUGGAGACAGUGUGGCCAUCAUUACGCCAUUCGUGCAGGUCGGAACUUACCCGACAAGGAAUUUCGCUACCUUAGGACCGUUAUAGUUACGGCCGCCGUUUACUGGGGCUUCAAUUCAAUGCUUGCACAUCUCCUCUUAACCUUCCAGCACCGGGCAGGCGUCACACCCUAUACGUCCGCUUACGCGUUAGCAGAGUGCUGUGUUUUUAAUAAACAGUUGCAGCCACCUGGUAUCUGAGACCGAUUCUUGCUUUCCCUGUUUAUAGGUUAUACAAUAAUUCGGCGCACCUUCUCCCGAAGUUACGGUGCCAUUUUGCCUAGUUCCUUCACCCGAGUUCUCUCAAACGCCUUAGUAUACUCUACCUAACCACCUGUGUCGGUUUAUGGUACGGUCAUAUGUAAUCUGAAGCUUAGAGGCUUUUCCUGGAAGCAUGACAUCAACGACUUUUCGUCUCAUACCUUAGUUUUCUUAAGAAAUCGGAUUUACCUAAUUUCUAAACCUACAUACUUUCACCCAGACUACCAACGCUGGGCUCGUCUAGCCUUCUCCGUCCCCCCAUCGCAAUUACAUAUGGUACGGGAAUAUUAACCCGUUUUCCAUCGAUUACGCUUUUCAGCCUCACCUUAGGACCGACUAACUCUGCUCCGAUUACCGUUGAACAGAAACCCUUAGUUUUCGGCGGGGAUGUUUCUCACAUCCCUUAUCGUUACUCAUGUCAGCAUUCGCACUUGUGAUAUCUCCAGCAUAUUUUACAAUAUACCUUCACAGACUUACACAACGCUCCUCUACCGCUUAUAUUUAUUAAUAUAUAAGCCCGUAGCUUCGGCACUUAGUUUUAGCCCCGUUAUAUUUUCCGCGCAGGUGAACUAGACUAGUGAGCUAUUACGCUUUCUUUAAAGGAUGGCUGCUUCUAAGCCAACCUCCUAGCUGUCUUAGUCUUCCCACCUCGUUUUCCACUUAACUAAGAUUUUGGGACCUUAUCUGACGGUCUGGGUUCUUUCCCUUUCCACCAUGGAUGUUAGCACCCAUAGUGUGUCUCCUAUGCUGCACUCAUUGGUAUUCGUAGUUUGCAUCGGUUUAGUAAGUCUA
rnacentral:rRNA from 1 species